rnacentral:rRNA from 1 species
GAUGAACGCUGGCGGCGUGCCUAAUACAUGCAAGUCGAGCGAACAGACGAGGAGCUUGCUCCUCUGACGUUAGCGGCGGACGGGUGAGUAACACGUGGAUAACCUACCUAUAAGACUGGGAUAACUUCGGGAAACCGGAGCUAAUACCGGAUAAUAUAUUGAACCGCAUGGUUCAAUAGUGAAAGACGGUUUUGCUGUCACUUAUAGAUGGAUCCGCGCCGCAUUAGCUAGUUGGUAAGGUAACGGCUUACCAAGGCAACGAUGCGUAGCCGACCUGAGAGGGUGAUCGGCCACACUGUAACUGCGACACGGUCCAGACUCCUACGGGAGGCAGCAGUAGGGAAUCUUCCGCAAUGGGCGAAAGCCUGACGGAGCAACGCCGCGUGAGUGAUGAAGGUCUUCGGAUCGUAAAACUCUGUUAUUAGGGAAGAACAAAUGUGUAAGUAACUAUGCACGUCUUGACGGUACCUAAUCAGAAAGCCACGGCUAACUACGUG